rnacentral:lncRNA from 1 species
UUUACAGUCUCCUCUGUGGUCUUUGCAUUUCAUCCUUGUGAGUUCUCCAGUACCAAGUCUCUCAGCUCCCCAAGCAAGGACCAUGGGCCAACAUCAGGGACAGGACUUGAAUGAGGACAACCCUGUUCACCUUGCUUCCUGGAAAGCUCAAAGAGGCAGGAGGCAAGGGAGCUGCAGCUAACGAGGCUGAGGACAAGCUGGACUGUCUCGAGUAUCAGAGGUAGCCACGGCAGCCGCUAACGAGAGAGCACUGCUAGCAACUAGGAAGUCCAAAGCUCUCUCCAGCAAGGAUUGACCUCUCCAUGUACCAGAGAGGAUGCCGCUGUUAAAUCUUUCCGAGGAUCAUUUCCACAGCACCAAGCAGAAAACCGUUGCUGCACAAAUCCAAGAAGCCCAUACGUGGGUCUGGUGUUGUGAGAAGAGGAUAGAGAGUUUGGACAAUGUACAUGUGUGGAAGGAUGCAAAACUGACCCAUGACACUGCCCCAGUGUCCCUCUUAUGGAAGCCCAGGAGAAUGGGUGGAUCUAGAGGUUCUGAUCUGCAAAAUUAGAUAGAUAUUUUAGUGACUUCCAAAUCCACACUCAGCCACAUCUCUGUACCUACUCUUUCAGCACAAAGCUGGUACGAAAACGAUGAGACUGUAUAGCAUCCUGUAGCAUGUUCACGGAUGAGGGCCCAGGAUGCAGUGGGCUAGAAAAUCCAAGCUGAGGUACAGGAAACACUGAGGAUAAGGUUUAGCAAUAGGAUGGGAACGGAGGGAGAUUAAGAAAAACCUUAUAUUUGAGAGCCAGGUCCGCCUAUGAGAGUUGGGGACAUGAGCUCAGGGCCAGCCUCAGUCACCCUUUUGAGUGAAGGGCAGCAUCAUUCCAACUGAGCAUUGUAUGAGAGUCACAGGGCUAAGAGCUUGCAUCGAACCUUUCUGCUCUCUAAGAAGUCGUUCCUGUGAUGACUGUUUACUUGAAUAAUCUGACUCUUCCAAGAAACAAAUGCUUAUCUAGAAUCCAUGCUUGUAAUAAAAUACUCUUACGGUGGAAUCGUAGAAACCAGUGCUGCGAAGUAAUGCGUACUUGGACCGUUGCUACCCUCACCAGGCUUUUCAGCAAAAGGUGAUGGAUCCGUGGCAACCUAGAUCUGACGAUUGGGAUCAACAGGCCUCUUUUCUGGUAUCUGUCUCCUAGAGACUGACGAGACUCAGAGUGGAGGCUUUGUGAUAACCCUGAUUGUCAUAAUGAGGAGUCUGAGGCAAGCUAUGCCUCCAGCCCAGAAGCCCAGAAGCCCAGAAGCCCAGUGCUGAACCAUCUGCUUCCCCCAGUUGAUUCAGGAUUUUGCCUCUGGGAUGGAUAAGACCAGCCAGAAUUCUCAGGUCCUGUGCCCAUGGAUUUAAUCUAUUGUACAUCAUAAGCAUUUGAAAAAAUGUUGCAUCUGUACUCGCCAUGUAUAGAUUUUUUUCAUUAUUUUAAGCCUGGGUGGGAUUCUAAAAAGUCAGUUGAGAUUUAGCCAAGCCUCCUCCUCGCUGUGACAGAAACUUCACAAAAUAUCCUAUGGGAGCAGAUCCCUAGAGAGUGUGGCUGAGUCUCCUCAGCAUCUGUAGCCUUGGGAAAACUGGAUGCAUCAUCGACUCAGGGAACGCAAUCAGUGAGCGUCUUCUUGAAACGUUGAGACCCUGUAUGCGGUGGUUGGAAUGAGAACGGCCUCCCUAGACACGGUGUUGUCACCUGAUCAUAGCUAGCAAAAGAGGACACCAAGAACAAAUGAAUCCUUCCCUGGAGCUCCUGGGCUACUGUUCAAAAAAGGUAUCAUCUGCCCUGUGCGAUAGGAGGCUGGACCUUGGAGAUGUUCCUGGUAAAUGGCGGCAGUGGAUUUUCCUUCCUGUAAAACCAGAGGCAGAAAGGCAUUACAGGCAUGAACCAUCACAUCAUGGUUAUCACAGGAUGUAUUUGAAUAGAAUUUCCUGUGAUCUACUUCUGAGGUGAAGGGCUGGCUGUAAGGGCUGUCUUUCUGGGCAAGCACAUGGCUGCAGUCAGCGUCCUUCGAGAGAGCAUGGGGAGGAUGCUCACUGGCUAACAUUGCCUCACGUCUACAUCCUACACUCUGAGGUCACAGUGCUCUCUCUGAGCUCUGCUGGGAAGGGAUCUUACUAAAGAAAGGCAGAAACACAGGUACCCGCCUCCCAGUGGAUGCUGCAGUGUUAUCAGAAGUGUUAAAGAUUUGAGGAGAUUAAUCUUGAGACCCGUACAGAUCUCAAAGUGGUCCACACAAGUGUACUGUCACGUGCUGGGGCUGGCUCACUGGAGCCUGAGGUACCUCUCCUACGUCCUAUGUUACAGCAGUGAGCUAGAGAAAAAAGUGAAAGAGUUCUGAAUCUAUGCGCGGCACGCGGGGGAGAAGGGGUCUUCCUGCUAGAAGGAACAAACAAGUAUCUGGGCUCGUGGGUGAGACAGAGAUAAGACAGGAGUAGAAGAGAGAGCAGCGAUAGCCAACAGGCGCUCAUAGCUUCUGCUUUAAACCAAGCUCAGAGGAGAGAAGGCUCAUCUGUCCUGCUGCUGAGGCAUUCCUUCGCCGGGGUUAGAAAUGGCUUCUGCAGGAUCCAAGGAUUUAGACGUAAGCAAAGGCUUGGUAUUGAACCUGUCGGAAGACACCCGUGUGCAGGGUAACGAGAGCCUGUGAUAGAAGAAGACAGAUCAGAAAAUACAAGGUCCCCUGAGAACUGAGGCCCCGAAGGGCUUUUGGAAAAGCAAAGUGAACGAAAAAUCCACUCUGAUGGGACGUGAUGAGAGGUGGAGAAGCAAAGACUUGGGGCUUUUGAAAGUGAAGUGGAUUUUUGAAUGCUAAAAAAAAAAUCUGUAAUUUCCAGUUUUAAAGAACUGCCUAUAAGGAUAAUUGAACAAAUAAAAAGCUCACUUUUUGAACCUGGUAAGAGACCUGUGAAUGAAAGAGAUAAUAUUGCAAAGAAAGGGGAUCAACAUAAUACCAGGUGUCACCUUUCCUGCCUUCCAAGGUUCUAAAAUCUGGGGAAAAUCUGGUAAAGCCUUCACAGAACCACCAGAAGUUUUGUUCAGUUGGUCUAUCUUCUCUGGGUUUGAGAAAUCAAAGAGCUUCACAGGGUGCCUGCUAUCAGACGUGAACGCUGGACUCAAUUUGAAACCCCUUCAACAGUUGACACAAGAUAGGGAAGUCAUCUGGGACACAUCUGGGAAGAAGGAACCUCAACUGAGAAAAGGCCUCCAUCAGACCAGCCUCUAGGCAAUUCUGUGGGGUGCUGUCUUUUUUAUUAAUGAUUGAUGUGGGGGGCUGAGCUCACUGAGGGUGGUGGCACCCUUAGACUGAUAGUCCUGAGCCCUGUAAGAAAGGAGGCUGAGCAAGACCAUGGAUGGUCAUUUUGGUGAUGGCAUUCAUCACAGCAAGAGAAGGCAAACCAGGACAUAUUGCUCUGAAAGCUUGAUGUGACCUGGAACCUUUCAGCACCUGGAUCCCACAAGCAAACAGAAGUUUAAAAAAAAAAAAAAAAAAAGAUGAUCUGGAUGUGUGUUUCCAUGAAAUUUCCGAUUCAGAUGUUUAGUUAGCGCCCAUGAGUAGAACAGAAGACAGGACAUCCGCCCAUAAAGGAUGAAGGAGAACCCUGAGAUUAUUUUCCUUGAAAAUGAAAAUA